rnacentral:rRNA from 1 species
AACGUAGGAGGCAAGCGUUAUCCGGAGUUACUGGGCGUAAAGCGCGUGUAGGUGGAUCGGUAAGUUACUUCUAAAAGCUCCUGGCUAAACUAGGAGAGGUUGAGCGAUACUGCCAGUCUUGAAUAGAGGAGAGGUUGACGGAAUUCCGCGUGUAGUGGUGAAAUGCGUAGAGAUGCGAAAGAACACCAGUGGCGAAGGCGGUCAACUGGCCUCAUAUUGACACUCAGACGCGAAGGCAUGGGUAGCGAACGGG